rnacentral:rRNA from 1 species
CAUGCAAGUCGAACGAGCGAGAGAGAGCUUGCUUUCUCGAGCGAGUGGCGAACGGGUGAGUAACGCGUGAGGAACCUGCCUCAAAGAGGGGGACAACAGUUGGAAACGACUGCUAAUACCGCAUAAGCCCACGGUGCCGCAUGGCACAGAGGGAAAAGGAGCAAUCCGCUUUGAGAUGGCCUCGCGUCCGAUUAGCUAGUUGGUGAGGUAACGGCCCACCAAGGCGACGAUCGGUAGCCGGACUGAGAGGUUGAACGGCCACAUUGGGACUGAGACACGGCCCAGACUCCUACGGGAGGCAGCAGUGGGGAAUAUUGCACAAUGGGGGAAACCCUGAUGCAGCGACGCCGCGUGGAGGAAGAAGGUCUUCGGAUUGUAAACUCCUGUUGUCGAGGAAGAUAAUGACGGUACUCAACAAGGAAGUGACGGCUAACUACGUGCCAGCAGCCGCGGUAAAACGUAGGUCACAAGCGUUGUCCGGAAUUACUGGGUGUAAAGGGAGCGCAGGCGGGAAGACAAGUUGGAAGUGAAAUCCAUGGGCUCAACCCAUGAACUGCUUUCAAAACUGUUUUUCUUGAGUAGUGCAGAGGUAGGCGGAAUUCCCGGUGUAGCGGUGGAAUGCGUAGAUAUCGGGAGGAACACCAGUGGCGAAGGCGGCCUACUGGGCACCAACUGACGCUGAGGCUCGAAAGUGUGGGUAGCAAACAGGAUUAGAUACCCUGGUAGUCCACACUGUAAACGAUGAUUACUAGG